rnacentral:rRNA from 1 species
GAUCCUGACUCAGGAUGAACGCUAGCUACAGGCUUAACACAUGCAGGUCGAGGGGCAGCAUCAUCAAAGCUUGCUUUGAUGGAUGGCGACCGGCGCACGGGUGAGUAACACGUAUCCAACCUGCCGACAACACUGGGAUAGCCUUUCGAAAGAAAGAUUAAUACCGGAUGGCAUAAUUAUUCCGCAUGGGAUAAUUAUUAAAGAAUUUCGGUUGUCGAUGGGGAUGCGUUCCA